GAUCCUGGCUCAGGACGAACGCUGGCGGCGUGCCUAACACAUGCAAGUCGAACGGAGAAUUUUAUUUCGGUAGAAUUCUUAGUGGCGAACGGGUGAGUAACGCGUAGGCAACCUGCCCUUUAGACGGGGACAACAUUCCGAAAGGAGGUGCUAAUACCGGAUGUGAUCAUCGUGCCGCAUGGCAGGGAUGAAGAAAGAUGGGCCUCUACAAGUAAGCUAUCGCUAAAGGAUGGG
rnacentral:rRNA from 1 species